AGUCGAACGGAGAAUCAAGGAGCUUGCUCUUUGGAUCUUAGUGGCGGACGGGUGAGUAACGCGUGAGCAACCUGCCUUUCAGAGGGGGAUAACAUAGGGAAACCUGUGCUAAUACCGCAUAAGAUGGUAAGAUCGCAUGAUCUAGCCAUCAAAGGAGCAAUCCGCUGAAAGAUGGGCUCGCGUCUGAUUAGAUAGUUGGUGAGGUAACGGCUCACCAAGUCAACGAUCAGUAGCCGGACUGAGAGGUUGACCGGCCACAUUGGAACUGAGAAACGGUCCAGACUCCUACGGGAGGCAGCAGUGGGGAAUAUUGGGCAAUGGGCGAAAGCCUGACCCAGCAACGCCGUGUGAAGGAAGAAGGUCUUCGGAUUGUAAACUUUUGUCUUGUGGGACGAUAAUGACGGUACCAUAGGAGGAAGCCACGACUAACUACGUGCCAGCAGUCGCGGUAAUACGUAGGUGGCGAGCGUUAUCCGGAAUUAUUGGGUGUAAAGGGUGCGUAGGCGGGCUGUAAAGUCAGAUGUGAAAGGCUGGGGCUUAACCCUGGGACUGCAUUUGAAACUUAUGGUCUUGAGUGAAGUAGAGGUAAGCGGAAUUCCCAGUGUAGCGGUGAAAUGCGUAGAUAUUGGGAGGAACACCAGUGGCGAAGGCGGCUUACUGGGCUUUUACUGACGCUGAGGCACGAAAGUGUGGGGAGCAAACAGGAUUAGAUACCCUGG
rnacentral:rRNA from 1 species